UUCAAUUGUAAAAUUUUAAUAUUCUUAAUUUAAUAAAUUCUACAUGUAUAUUCGUAGCUACACUAGAGUAUUUAUAUUCUUAAUUAAUAAAAAAUUGUUAGUAUCAUAAUUUUAAUUAAAAUAAUAUUUACUGAUUAAUUGGAUAUACACAUCCAAGUAAAACUUAACAUAUUAGCCCACUAAAGAAAAUAUAAAAAGAGAAAUAAAUUAGGGCAAUAUUUUGAAGUAUUAAACACCAUAAAUUAGAGAAAAAAAGGGAAAAAAAUGAAAAAUAGUGAAAAAAGAGCUUGUUAUAAAUUUGGAGUGCCUUAUCCAAAUCCUAAUACUGAUUGCUAAAGGAAAUUCAUUUGAUAAAUCUAAAAUGACAUAUAAAAUUAAAUGAUUUUAUUAAAGUAAAAUUAGAGAUGGUUGAUUCUAGUAAUAACUAUGGAUGAAGUAUUGAAGUUACAAUAAUUCUAAAAAAAAAAAUAAUAAGAUUAUGUAUUAAAUUAACACUCCUUGAACAAACAAGGGCCCAAGCCAAGUCCAUAACAAUAACAGCCCAAUGUUCAGCAUUCUUUUUUUUUUUUUUAGGAUACCACCAUCUCUCUGAAUUAUGCUUCCUUUGUCUGAUCGUCUCCCCUCCAGAAUUUAGUGAUUGUUUUUGCCGUUUUGGAUGCUUAUCAUCUAUAUCUGUCAUAUAUUCUUUAAUUUUUCUUAUGUCUUAUCAGCAAAUUGUUUAAAUUAUGUACCUUAAUGAUUUUUUAUGGUUUCCGCAUUUUUGUUUUCUUUCACAUUGAGCCCUUCAAUUGUUGAAGUUUUCUCAUGCUAAUGAGCUCCCUAAUCAUCUCUUUUGAAUCACACUGAAUUUUGGGUAGCUGGGUCUCUGUGUUUCCUGAUGGGUACUGCUGCUACUCAGUACCCAUAUGGAAUCACUGCACAUUCCUGUGGAAAAUUUGGUCACAAGUUGGACACUUCAAGCUCCAAGUUUCCUUAUAAAGUGGGAUUUUCAAGAAUUAACUUGUACCAAAGAUCUGCUUCCAUCACCAAUUCCAAGGUAUGUAAAAAAGUUUUCUACUUCAUUUAUUUUUUUAAAUUAUAUGCACCAAUAUGGUCUAUCUUCUUGCAGAAAAAAAUGCAAGGGGAAGUAAAGAAACUCUAUGUUUGUCGACUUUUGUAGGUCUUCUACUUUUUUUAGUUGAUAAUCUUCUAUUAAUGCCACAGUAAAGGCUUCAAAUUUCAUUUCACCUUAGUUUUAUGAGCAAGAAAUGCAAUUAAAGACGGAUAUGAUAAUCCUUAGUCCUCCAAUCAUUUGUAUUAUGAACGGAUUUUUCCUUUACUUUUUGAGUUUCUGUAAUGUUUAUGCUUGUGACUUGUGAGCUUAUGCUCUUGUGAAUUACUGCCUCAUACCCCCAUAUGGAGGAUAUAAUUCAGAAUUGGUCCAAUGCCUGAUGUGUGCAUGUACGUAUUUAGUUUUAGCUGCGGCUUUCGGCGUCUUACUGCACUCUGCAACUAAGGCACUGAAGUUUCGAUUAUUUGCAAUGGGGAAAGUCAAACGUUGAUUAAUUCAACAUUUUCCUUAUGGGGUAACCUUAAAAACUACUGAUAAUCGUUCAAAUAAAGUUUUGACGUUCUUGUAUUCAAGUAAACUAUUCAUUAGUCAGUAGAGAAUUUUGAAUUCUUACCUUUAAUUUAGUCAUGGACUAGUUUAUUGGAAAUAUUCAGGAUGAUGUUGCAAAUAAAUGUAUUGGGAUACUUGAGAGAAAAUAUCCAGAUUAUUUAGAUUGUAGAAACUGACAAUGCCUGAAUGAAGUAGUAGUGUUAUUUGCUGUUUUAAUGGGCAGGUGCUUUUGAUUUUUUUUUCCCCUUUUUUUUCUGGUAGGGAUUUGUUGGUCGAAUAUAUUCUGUGCCUGAUCUUGAUGAUAUCUUCUGGGAGAAAGUCCCUACACCCAUACUUGAUGUGGUUGAAAACCCUAUCCACUUAAAGAAUUUGACCCAUAAGGAACUGAAACAAUUGGCUGAUGAAAUACGAGCAGAAUUGUCUUCUAUAAUGUCAAGGACUCAAAAAUCUAUCAAGGCCAGUUUAGCAGUUGUGGAACUGACAGUUGCCAUUCAUCAUGUUUUUCAUGCACCAGUGGACAAGAUACUAUGGGAUGUUGGGGAACAGACAUAUGCGCAUAAAAUUCUCACAGGAAGACGGUCCCUUAUGCAUACACUGAAACAAAAGAAUGGUCUUUCUGGCUUUACAUCUCGGUCUGAGAGCGAAUAUGAUCCAUUUGGGGCUGGGCAUGGAUGCAAUAGUAUUUCUGCUGGGCUUGGGAUGGCAGUUGCACGUGAUAUGAAAGAGAAACGGGAACGUGUUGUUACAGUCAUCAGCAACGGGACAACUAUGGCUGGUCAGGUCUAUGAAGCGAUGAGCAAUGCAGGCUAUCUGGACUCAAAUAUGAUAGUCAUUUUAAAUGACAGCCAUCACUCUUUGCAUCCAAAGAUUGAAGAGGGUCCCAAGACUUCGAUCAAUGCUCUAUCUAGCACCCUAAGCAAGCUCCAGUCAAAUAAAUCAUUCCGGAAGCUUAGAGAAGUUGCAAAGGGUGUUACCAAAAGGAUUGGUAUGGGUAUGCAUGAAUUAGCAGCCAAAGUUGAUGAGUAUGCACGUGGUAUGAUGGGUCCUCUAGGAGCAACUCUCUUUGAAGAGCUCGGUUUGUAUUACAUAGGCCCUGUUGAUGGACACAACAUUGAAGACCUAGUUUGUGUUCUACAAGAAGUGGCAUCUCUGGAUUCUAUGGGUCCUGUCUUGGUACAUGUAAUAACAGAAGAAAAUCGAAAACCAGAAGAUAAGCAAAAGAGUGAGGCAUUGCAGAACCUGCAGGAAGGUUCAUUUGUGUCUGAUUCUUCUCUCUAUAGUAUUCAUACUAGAACAUAUAGUGAUUGCUUUGCGGAGGCUUUGGUCAUGGAGGCAGAGAAGGACAAAGAAAUUGUGAUUGUUCAUGCAGGAAUGGAAAUGGAAAAAGCUUUUCAACUAAUUCUGGAGAGAUUUCCAGAUAGGUUUUUUGAUGUGGGAAUGGCUGAGCAGCAUGCGGUUACAUUUUCUGCUGGUUUAUCUUGUGGGGGGUUGAAGCCAUUUUGCAUAAUUCCUUCUGCCUUUCUACAGAGAGCAUAUGACCAGGUUCUCUAUCUUUUUCUGUGUACAAGUCUUAUCUGCAAGUGUGGUAUUGUGUGCAAGCAUUAUGUCUAGACACUGUGGGUUAUUGUAUUACUAGUAAUUAUACAUGUUGACUUCAAUUGUGGAAUAACUAUCUUAAUUUUUCUAGGAUAUUUUCCUUUGCGGCUUCUACAGGUGGUUCAUGAUGUUGAUCGACAGAGGAUUCCAGUUCGUUUUGUCAUUACAAGUGCAGGAUUGGUAGGGUCUGAUGGUCCAAUGCAGUGUGGGGCAUUUGAUAUAACAUUCAUGUCAUGCUUACCAAACAUGAUUGUAAUGGCACCAUCUGAUGAGGAUGAGCUUGUGGACAUGGUGGCUACUGCAGUUAACAUUGAUGAUCGUCCAGUCUGCUUCCGUUAUCCAAGGGGUGCCAUUAUUGGGACAGAUCAUUAUGUGCGCAGUGGAAUUCCAAUUGAGGUUGGAAAGGGAAAAGUUCUUAUAGAGGGUAAAGAUGUUGCUUUGCUUGGGUAUGGGGCAAUGGUUCAGAACUGCCUCAAAGCUCGGCACCUUCUUUCAAAGCUUGGCAUUGAGGUAACUGUUGCUGAUGCAAGAUUCUGCAAACCUCUCGACAUGAAGCUUCUCAGACAACUAUGUGAAAAUCAUGCAUUUCUGGUCACAGUUGAGGAAGGCUCUGUUGGAGGAUUUGGAUCCCAUGUUGCACAGUUCAUGGCUCUUGAUGGACAACUUGAUGGUAGAGUUAAAUGGCGACCUAUCGUUUUACCAGACAGCUAUAUCGAACACGCAUUGCCAAAGGAACAGCUUACUCUUGCUGGGCUGACUGGGCACCAUAUUGCUGCAACAGUACUAAGACUGCUUGGUCGCACCCGCGAAGCUCUCCUUUUAAUGUGUUAGAAAUCUAUAUUUUCUCUGCUAUUAUCGCUUAAGAUGUUGAGCCUACAUUGCUUCACUGAUUUUUGUAAGUAAUUAGUUCAUAUGUGAAAUUAACACUAUAUCUGGCUUGUAAUGAUUGUAAUGAUUAACGCUGCAAUCUGAAUUUUCUUUUUAAAUGCAAG
rnacentral:misc_RNA from 1 species